GGAGGCUUAUAGUAAUUAAUGAAUAUAGUGACGAGAAUUAAAUCUGAUUUCUUUCACAUAUUUCUUAAUCUUAUUGGUAUCUUCGUAGUAAAAUAUUCAUUUGUUGUUCACGAAAUGAUUAUUUGUAUGAGUUAUUACGAAUAAAAUAGUAUCAGUUGGUUUAAACACGAAGUUUUCUAAAAAAAAGUUUAGUUUUUAAUUUAUUUCAUAUGUUCCAGCAAAUAGACAAAAUUGAAAAAUUCCCGAGUAUAAAGAAGUAUAAAAGACGUUUGUUGUUACAAUUUGGCGAUUGCAUGUCUAAAAAAACGCAGUUAAAAAAAUGAUUUUACUUAAAUAUUUUUUCAUCUCUUUUGCUCCUAAGUAUUUGGGAAAAAAAACACCAUUUACUGACUUUUAAUUUUACACUAUUGAAAAAAAGAAAAAAAUCCAAUAAAGCGGUUUUUUUCAAUAACUCGAAAGCCGUUUAAGAUUAUGAGCUGAAAUUUCGGAUGAAUUAUUUUUAUUUGGCAUCAAAAUGAUCCCCAAAGUGUCGAUAGAAAUCGGCGGGGUGGUGGGGGGGCAGGUUCGGCAUACUUAUCCAGCUGUGCCCUUUGCAAUGUGUGACUUUGACGCCAAAUAACUUCACUGACUUGAAGUUGAGCGAUUUUUACUUCUUUUGAAAUUGAAGGGAAACUGGUAAGAAAUCUCGUGGAUAUUAGUAGCAAAUCUGAAACUAUUAUUUUACUGAUUAAAAAUGUCUUAGAACCUGACCCUUUAUCAAAAAUAUCAUUACCAAAUAUCAAUUGAGCUGGAAUGAAUUCGCACCUGCGUGCAACUUAAUGGUCUAAAGAAAACCUGGUUUCAAUGGAAAAUAAUUUUGUUCUAAACAUGUGCAAAAUUUCACUUGAAUUGGUAUAAGUAAUCUUGCAUUAUUAUUUUUACCAUUUUUAAGAACACUGUUUUAAGAGAACUGACUUUAUUUAUAAUAUGAAGUUAUACAUUCAUUUCUCACCCUUAACCGUCGAUUCCUGCUACAAAAUGAACUUCUUAUGUUUCGAGUAGGUAGGUAUAACGUUUACUGCAUGUCGGCGCUCAACACCUACGAAUAGACCCCGCAUGCUAAUCGCCUUAUAUUGUUGCAAUCAAAGUGUUUUAACUUCACGAAACUCAAAUGUAUCUAAAAUUAAACUGAAUAGAAUUUUUUUUAAACCGAUAUUUUGAAACUCAGAGUGACGGAGCUUCUUGAACUCUGACUCUGUGUAUGUACACUUAUUUUUAAUUUGAAAUUGAUCAUUCAGUUUUUGAUUAACCGUGAAAGGAGUAAUUUUUUACGUCAUCGGUCCUUCUUCGCAACAUUUAAAAAAUUCAAUACUCAAAAUUAAAUCAAAUUUUCGGGCAUUCAGUGGUAGGAGAAGCUUAAGAACCUGAGAAUCAGGGAAUUUAACAAAAAAUCGGGGAAUUUGCAAUGCAUACCCAGGUAUGUACGCUUUAAAUAAAUUUGUGCCGUUGAGAUACAGUAUAACUACAGUUAACAUUACUCUGCACGCCCUUGCAACACCACAUAUUAGCGUAUGACAAAAGAAGCCAUAAGUUUGAGAUUUUUACUUUAAAGUGAAACUUAGAAUUAAUUUGAACUCAAUUCUGAAAAUGAGACAGUAUAAUAGAAUUUUAGGAGAAGAUUUGCGCGUGUGUAGUUGAGUACAAAUGAAAGUCAGUCAAUAAUAAAAACGCUAUAAGUCUUGUAUUUUUAUACCUGUUAAGCAUAAAACAAUGACCCUUUUGCGCUGGAAAAAUUGAAAAUAUUUGUCUGGAAAACCUGGGGUUCUUUGGAAUUUUAAGUAAAAUGCCCUGUUGCUGGGCACCCACACCUUUCAACAAUUUCGUUUCUAUGGAAUGCAAAAUUAUUUUCAAACUAAAAUUGGCAGCGUGUGUAAAAUCGAACUCACAAAUGUACAACGUAAAAAUGUUUUAAAACAGUAGUUCGCGCUACAGCACCUUGCACGGACUGUAAAAAUACUAAUCAACUCAUCUCGUACACUUUAGUAAAGUAAAAAAAUAAAGCGUUUUAAAAGAUUAAAGUAUGGAUAUUAGCGUAGAGAAUAUUUAUACUUCUUUAUUUUAGAUUCAAAGUUUGUGACACUUAUUUGAUAUAUUUUAAUUCUGAGCACACUGCAGUUUCGAUUGAAGUUUGGAAAACUGAUGGGAUUUGACACUGCGUAGCUACCAUAAGUACUUUAAGAUCGCAAACAUCUGGACAUGUGAAGAAACCAGGUAUGGAAUGGCAAGAUGAGCAAGUGUAAGCCUUUAUGAUAAUUAUUAAUAGUAGUGAUUCUUCAAAACUGAAAAUACAGUAUGACGAUACACAUAGAUAUUUUUUAAGUGAAAAAAAUGAUCAUGUAGAUUUAAUGCUUGUAUAGAAGAAUAAAUUCUAUGUCAUAGUA